rnacentral:rRNA from 1 species
AUGACGACGGCCUCGAGGCUGUCCUACAAGAACGCCACCGUCGCCCUGUGCGCCAUCAACGUCCUCGCGGUGGCGCUCCUCCUGCGCAGCCACUUCUCGUCCUGGCCGCGGAUCGCCGGCGGCCACCGGUUCGAUUCAGCACUGGGAAAGCUGAGUGGGAAGACCGGGUUCUACUCUUUGGCAGCUCAGCUACGGUACAUAUGGGAGUCCGAAGAGUUGCGCCGUGCCAUGGAGCCUGUGGAUUUGAUUAGGAGAGUGAAAGAAAUUGAACAAGAAGCUUAUGGAGAGCCUGGCAUGUCAGCAACGCAAGAAGGGACGGCUGCUGUUGACUUGUCGAAAAGGUUGAAAGAUUUACGGCAAGGGAAUGACGGCAGCAGCCAAAGAGCACUGGAGGAGUGGCGCAAGCGGAAGAUGGAGCGGGCGAGGCAGCGGGCGAUCGAGAAGGACGGGAUGAUGCCGGGCGCAAAAACACCGUGA